AAAAACAAUGGCACAAGCUUCUUCAGUUGUUAGCAUCAACAGAAGGAAACGUUUCGUUUCACUUCCUUUUCAUGGGUUUGUUGUUACUUUGGCUGUGAUUCUGCUCUGUUUUGUACCCAUUAACGUAUCGGCUGCUGCCAGGCGACAACCUCCACAGCAACAGCUACCGCAGAAGCUGAGGUUUGGUCGGAAUGGGGAGUUUAAGAUACUACAAGUGGCGGACAUGCACUAUGCAGAUGGGAAAACAACGCCGUGCUUGGAUGUGUUGCCUCACCAGUUUCAUGGUUGCUCUGACCUUAACACCAGCGCUUUUAUCCAGCGAAUGAUCCAAGCUGAGAAACCCAAUUUUAUCGUUUUCACUGGUAAUCUAAUAGACCCUUUUCGUAUUAUCUGAAGAAAGUAAGUUUGUUUGUAGAAAAAUUUUUACUUUAUGAGAUGCAAAUGUGAAAAUGUAAUCUUCAACACUUGUAAUUAGUUAGUAUUAUUGGUAUAGAAAGCUCCCUUUUUAUCCAUCUAAUAAUCCUCCUGCUUUUAUUUUAUCGUAAAAAUUUUUUUGAGGGAGUGGGAAGUUGGUGACUUUAAUGAAUUUUUAAAAGGGCGUUGACCAAAACUCUGAGUUCUGAUUGUUUAACGUCAUAGUUUUUCUUUGCUAUCUUUUAAUACCAUAGCAUAAUUAUUCAGGUUAGCUUUGAUUGGUACUAUUCGCUAUGAAUUUGCAGUGAUAGCAAUCUUUUCUAAGUACGCCUAUUGAGAAAUCCUAGUUCACCGAUGCAAGUGUUUUGUCUGUUUAUUAGGUGAUAACAUCUUUGCAUUUGAUGCCACGGAUUCAGCAAAAUCUUUGAAUGCAGCAUUUGCCCCUGCAAUUGCUGCAGGAAUUCCAUGGGCUGCUGUUUUGGGGAACCAUGACCAGGAAGGCACCUUAUCAAGGGAAGGGGUCAUGAAACACAUAGUUGGAUUGAAGCAUACUAUGUCUCAAUUCAAUCCUUCUGAAGCACAUAUAAUUGAUGGUUUUGGCAACUAUAACCUGGAGGUUGGUGGAGUUGAGGGGUCAGGUUUUGCAAACAAAUCAGUUCUCAAUCUCUACUUUCUUGACAGUGGAGAUUACUCCACAGUUCCAGCCAUCCCUGGCUAUGGUUGGAUUAAAACCUCUCAGCAGAUGUGGUUUCAACGCACUUCUGCAAAUCUUCGGGUAUAAACCUCAUUGGACUCUGCUUGGACAACAUUUUAAUUUCAUUUCUUUGCUAAAUACUAGGCGUGCCUGUCUGAAGUUGCUCUAUUGACCUGUGGCCUUUUGUCUUUCUCAUUCGACUAAUUGGAUGUCUUCUUUGUAUUGCAGAGAGCCUACAUGAGCCCACCUAAUGUUCAGAAAUCAUCUGCACCUGGACUUGUGUAUUUUCACAUCCCGCUGCCUGAAUUUGCUAGUUUUGACUCUUCUAACUUCACUGGGGUGAGACAGGAAGGUAUUAGUUCUGCUUCUGUGAACUCGGGCUUCUUCACAACCAUGGUAGAAGCAGGGGACGUGAAGGCUGUUUUUACAGGUCAUGAUCACCUCAACGACUUCUGUGGUCAAUUGACGGGUAUUCAACUAUGUUAUGCUGGGGGUUUUGGAUACCAUGCCUAUGGAAAAGCUGGAUGGUCCAGGAGAGCUAGGGUGGUGGUAGCAUCUCUAGAGAAGACAGAGAAAGGAGGUUGGGGUGCUGUCAAGUCAAUCAAGACAUGGAAGCGCCUUGAUGAUCAACAUCUUACUGCCAUUGAUGGUCAGGUCCUCUGGAGCAAGAAUUCUGCUGGUAAAAACAAGUUACUUUGAUCACUAUUUCCCACAGUGGAUUAAUCUUGCCCUAAGUAUAAAGGUAGGCAGCCAUUUAGGACCAUCUACAUGGAGGGUUUGAAAUUUUUAUGACUCUGUAUCUAGACAUUAGCCAACUAACAGGACUUUGAUCCGAACUUGCUUGGUAGCUGUUCCUUUUUCCCCUGCGUGCUCAAAGGGAAAAGUUAAUUUAUUUUUUUCCUUAAAAUUAGUUCUAAAUAUUUGAUGAAUCGCAUGCUAUUUAAUCUUGACGGUUUUCUUUAAGAUAAUGUAUCCUAUAUUAUUCUUGAAUAUUGACCAUAUCGGCAAAAGUUCAGGGUAGUUUAUCAAAUGUUGGGAUAUGUCAUAGACUUGCAUGUUGUAGAUGUCAUGUGAAACAUGAGCUCCAUUUAUAUCCUAAGCAGCAGUGGUGGCGAAAUGACUCAUGCACAUUGUUUGGAAAUCAAAUUUGUUUGUGCUUAUGGAAUAAAUUCACAUGAUGUUAGGUGCAUUAGACGAAUUUGUAGGGAGUUGAAGCAUCCAGCAUCUUGAUUCCAAUUUGUGCUUUAGCUCCUUCUGUCUCUCUCUGUCUCAAGACUUAUUUUUUCUGUCAUUGGGUGCAUCUGAUAUCUAUGUUAAACCAAUCUCACGUGCAUCACAAAUUCACAAUGCUUCAAUUCUGCUCUAACACAUGACACAGACCGCCAACUAUCAAGACAAGGUUGCGGGGUUUACUCAUAUUUGGUUUGGCAUUGGACAGGUACUCGUAGAAAGAAACAUAUUCUUGGCCGUGCUUGACUUUAGCAAUGGACAGCUGAGAAGUAUUAUUAUUACUUUAAUCUCAAUCGGUAAGCAACAACUGGACAGUAAGGAUGUAGCUCGUGGAGAUGGUACAAGACUUUGAAGGCUGUGCCGUCAACUGCUGGUGUCUAAUAAUUCUAUGGAAAUGUAACCGUAUACCUGUGUUCGUACCAUUGCUGAAGGUUUUUUUUCUUUUUGAUACAACAUAAAUGGUUUCAUAAUAGCUGAUGAGAGAAAGGUAGAAUGAAAUAUCAAUUGUUGUUAUUUUGAUAAAAUACUUUCAAUUCUUUGGGUCCCCAUCCGUAUUGAAAAAAUUAAGUUCUUUCUGGGAAUUAAAUGGGGAAGAUGACUUUUCCAAGGGAAUGGCAUUACCAGCCCACCAGCCCAGGGAGGACGUUUGGUAUGGUCCUUUAAUGGGAAGGAAGGUAACUCAAUCUAUUCAGGCAGUGAUGCAGAUAUUUAUACAAAAAAGAAGAAGAAGAUAAUAAUAAUACUUUCAUUAACCAACAGCAGGAAUACAUGGACUGAUGCUCAUUUGGUCGUUCUGUUGUACAUAAACCGAUUACACUGAUAUUUUCUCGAGAAGGUAAGAAAAUACUGAAAAUUAUAGUAGAAACUAAAACUUGGACUCCUCUUUUAAUGAUUUGAUUGAGAUACAACUGCACUAAAAGGCACAAGUGUUGAAUUGAUUACAAUGAGUGUGCCCGUAGGUGGUUGGAGCAAAAUUACCCCUGCAUUCAUUGUAUCGUAGCACCGUUAAGCCCACCCCACAUGCCGAGUUUCAUUUCGUCUCCCUUUUCUCCUUUCAUAGUGUUUAUAAAAGAGAAUACAAGAUGAGUUUUCGGGCUACUUUAUUUAUUUAUUUUAUUAAAGAAAAUGGCACCUGUACAAGUCUAACUUCAAAAUAAAUUGAUAAAGAAGAAGUAAGAAGUGUUUUUGAUAGUUUGGAUAUCUAAAUUAGUAAUUGAAAUGCUCUGAAAAAGAUUGAAAAAUACGGUGAACUGUCUUUAAAUAGUAGAUACCCAUCGUUUUUUGGGGUAUCUGCCAAAUACUUCCACGCUUGGAAUAUCCUCGUUUCCGACUAUGAAAAAGAAAGAAAUUUAAAUUUAAGUGACUGCAAAGAUAAGGGGCUCGCGUGACUCUGAUCCUCUCGUCUUGGUUCUUCUUACGUUUGAGUGUCGACAGGUGCAGUAAGGUCAACCAGUCUUAGUAUUGCCGUUGCCUAGUCUAUAACAUAGAAGCUUCAAUGGGGCUUUCAGAGUUAACCACGUGGAGGGCAGAGAGAGUGAAAGGAAAAAGAUGUUGAAGCAAAGAGAGAGAAAGAGAUGGGUGUAAAGGGGUCAAAGUUAACCGCGUGAAGGGCAAAUAGAGAAAGAGAAAAGAUGUUGAAGCAAAGAGAAGGGGUGCAAAGACGUCCGUGUGUUGCACACGGGUAAUAUUCUAGUAGACUUAAAACCCAACGAAAAGAGAACCAUCUCAAAAACUGUAAACCCAGGAAAGGGGAAGAAAAAGAGAAAAGAAAACAAUGGCACAAGCUUCCUCAAUUGUUAGCAUCAACAAAAAGAAGCGUUGCGUUACACUUCCUUUCCACGGUUUUGUUGUUGCUUUGGCUGUGAUUCUGCUGUGUUUUGUACCCAUUAACGUCUCGGCUGCUGCCAGGCGACAACCUCCGCAGCAACAGCUACCGCAGAAGCUGAGGUUUGGUCGGAAUGGGGAGUUUAAGAUACUACAAGUGGCGGACAUGCACUAUGCAGAUGGUAAAACAACGCCGUGUUUGGAUGUGUUGCCUAGUCAGGUUCAUGGUUGCUCCGAC
rnacentral:lncRNA from 1 species